AACCUUUGCUGUCUUGGGACGGAUCACCGCUGCAAGAGGGGAAGUUGCUACUGUGAUGAAUUCUGCCAUGUGGCACCAGACUGCCACCCAGACCACAGUGUCCUCUGCAACCCUGCUUCUCAGAUGACCAAGAUGGUGCUGCAGAUGGUGCUGAGGAUGGAGAACCCACCAAGCCCCGCUAGGAGCCACCUAGACUGGAUGCAGAGCAUGAUUUGAAGAUUGUACCAGGAGAGCCGCAGUGUUCCAGAGCUACUGAGGGGGCUGGGCUGGGAUUUGCUGUAUUCGAGAAGACCCCCUUGGACCCGAGAGGCUGUGGGCUUGGGGAGCGAGGAGGUUUCACAGCAGAAAGGACACCCCGGGGCUCCUGGAUAAGCCAGAAAAUGUGCCAGGGGAAGUCGGGCUCCAAGGGCACCACUCUGGGCUUCCAGCUGUGUGGGCUGGACCAAGAAGGCUCAGAGAAAUGAUCUCAGGCUUGAAGUGGGGAGAAGAAACUGUAUUAUGAAGGCAGACGAACAGUUCCUGCAAAGCCCCAGCACCCGCAGAGCAGACACUGCGAUGACAACGGACGACACAGAAGUGCCCGCUAUGACUCUAGCACCGGGCCACGCCGCUCUGGAAACUCAAACGCUGAGCGCUGAGACCUCUUC
rnacentral:misc_RNA from 1 species